rnacentral:rRNA from 1 species
AGUGAACGCUGGCGGUAGGCCUAACACAUGCAAGUCGAACGGCAGCACAGUAAGAGCUUGCUCUUACGGGUGGCGAGUGGCGGACGGGUGAGGAAUACAUCGGAAUCUACUUUUUCGUGGGGGAUAACGUAGGGAAACUUACGCUAAUACCGCAUACGACCUACGGGUGAAAGCAGGGGAUCUUCGGACCUUGCGCGAUUGAAUGAGCCGAUGUCGGAUUAGCUAGUUGGCGGGGUAAAGGCCCACCAAGGCGAGGAUCCGUAGCUGGACUGAGAGGAUGGUAAGCCACACUGGAACUGAGACACGGUCCAGACUCCUACGGGAGGCAGCAGUGGGGAAUAGUGGACAAUGGGCGCAAGCCUGAUCCAGCCAUACCGCGUGGGUGAAGGAGGCGUUCGGGUUGUAAAGCCCUUUUGUUGGGAAAGAAAAGCAGCAGGUUAAUACGCCGCUGUUCUGACGGUACCCAAAGAAUAAGCACCGGCUAACUUCGUG